rnacentral:rRNA from 1 species
UACAGAGGGUGCAAGCGUUAAUCGGAAUUACUGGGCGUAAAGCGUGCGUAGACGGUUAUGUAAGUCGGGUGUGAAAGCCCCGGGCUCAACCUGGGAAUUGCAUUCGAGACUGUGUAGCUAGGGUACGGAAGAGGGAAGCGGAAUUUCAGGUGUAGCGGUGAAAUGCGUAGAUAUCUGAAGGAACACCAGUGGCGAAAGCGGCGCACUGGACCACAACUGACGCUGAGGCGCGAAAGCUAGGGGAGCAAACAGG